UUGAGGCUAGGAGUCUGAGACCAGCCUGAGCCACAUAGUGAGACCCCAUCUCUACCAAAAAAAUUAGCUGGGCGUGAUGGCACACACUUGUAGUCCCAGCUACAGGAAGCUGUGGUGGGAAGCUUGAUGCUGGGGAAGUCGAGUCUUCCCCAGUGAGCCGAGAUCACAACGCUGCAGUCCAGCCUUGGUGAUGGGGUGAGACCCUGUCUCAAAAGGAAACAAAAGUCUUCCCUCGAUUCCCCCACCAUAGAGAACCCUACUUUUUUACUUUAUAUACCAUUAUCUCCUCCAAACAGGUCUAUCCUGCAAGUUUUCAGCUUUCUUUUCCUCGCUUUUCUCUCUCUCUCUCACUCUUCCUCCUCCUUCCCUCCCUCCGUCCAUCAACAAAUACUCAUUUGAGCGUCUGCUGUAGCCUGGACACCGUCCUGAGAGUGAGACAUUCAGCGUCUACAGAACAGAGGAAUGUCCCUGGGACGGCAGGUGGAAACACGCAAGUUCCCAAGGCUGGAAAGUGCUGGUCUUGGUGGAGCCGGUGGUGUGGCAGAGGAGUGAGAGGAAGGAGGGCUGAGGCAGGAGGCCAGGAGCAGGGGCUGGGAGGGGACACAGCGGAGGGCACCAGGCCACCAGGAGGAUGUGCAUUUAGCUCUGAGUGCGGUGGGAGCCUUUGGAGGGUUCUGAGCAGAGGGGCAGGAUCGGACGCAUCCUCUAGAAGGAUGGAACUCUGGGGGAUGGCCUGGGUGGGGGCGGGGAACCCAAUGAGAGGGCUGGUGCCUGACAUCCAGAGACUCCAGAGCCACGGAAUGGUGAGCACAGAACCUCUCUGGUGCAGUCCUGUGAAUGGCUGACCUGCGGCUGCAGUCAGGAGCAGAGGGGACUGAGGUCUGAGGGGUUCAAUGACUCUCCCAAGGGCACAGCAGGGAAGGGGAGAGGCCGGUCCCAGAAGCCAGGCCUCCCUCACAGCCCACAGCCCCCAGCUCACUGACCCAACCCCCAGCUUGCUGACCCAGCCAUCUCCCUGCACUUGGGGCCCUCAGGGUCUCGGCUCCUGGGCCAGCUUCUGUCCCAUUGACCUCCCUCCACCUUCCCUUCCAGUUAGGUCCUCCCAUCUCAAAACCAAGGAAACUGAGGCCUCAGACCAGGAGCCUGCUGAAGACAGGGAGUAGGCGGGGGGAAUCUGGCUCAUGGUAGCACAAAGACUCUUUUUCUUUUUUUGAAAGACUGGGUCUCACUCUGACACCCAGCCUGGAGUGCAGUGGCACGAUCUCAGCUCACUGCAACUUCUGCCUCCUGGGCUCAAGUGAUCCUCCCACCUGAGCCUCCUUCGUAGCUGGGACCACAGGUGUGCACCACCACACCCAGCUAAUUGUUGUAUUUUUUGUAGAGACGUGGCUUCUGCAAGCUGCUCCUUCUCCUUCUCUUCUGUGCUCUGUGGCCAGGAAGGCUCGACCAUGCCAGAUGAACUUGAACAGGGGGAAGGGCUGCCACCCAUAGGGGAGGGGACGGGGUCUGCAUGCCCCACACCCAGGGCAAGAGAGGAAGGAGGAAGGCAGACCCGGGCUGGAGCUACCUCCACUGCCUCACUCCUUUUUCUUUUUUUUGAGACAGACUCUUACUCUGUCUCCCAGGCUGGAGUGCAGUGGCACGACUUCGGCUCACUGCAACUUCUGCCUCCUGGGCCCAAGCAAUUCUCAUGCCUCAGCUUCCUGAGUAGCUGGGAUUACAGGCACCCACCAUCACACCAGGCUAAUCUUUGUAUUUUUAGUAGAGACGGGGUUUCACCGUGUUGUCCAGGCUGGUCUCAAACUCCUGAGCUCAGAUGAUCCGCCCACCUCGGCUUCCCACAGUGCUGGGAUCACAGGCGUGAACCACCACGCCCAGCCCAUUGCUUCACCCCUCACUAGCCCCCUUCACCUCUCAUCUUGAUAUUGGUGGGUGGGCUAACAGGGGGACCAUAAGGAACACCCAGCCCAGCCUGGGGGACCCUGGCUUGGAGCAGCUUCAGAGCAAAGGCUCUCAGCCUCUUAGGACAGAUGGAGCAUGAGGGAGGCCUGUGGAGUGCAGGGGGCAGGGGUGGGGGGAUGGUUUUAAGGGCCCCUCAGACCAUGUCCCAGGGACUACCACUUCCCACUAGGAACAUUGCCUUGCUCCCCCACCCCCUUGAAGAGACCUUCCCGGCAGAGAGCACAGCAGAGCCGUCAGGCAUGUGUGCACCCACGCCCAAACACGGCCGGCAAACACAUCCCAGGCUGGACCUAGUGAAUGCUAUUUGGGGCCAGAGGAAGUGCCAAGGCCUCCUCCCUGUUGCUCCCGUCUCAGGUCAUCUGCUGGGUUGGCAGGAGGACGCCUGCUCUUCUCCGAGGCCUCACCCUCCCAGGCUGGAGGAGAGCCAUCUGCCCCUAAGCAGGUCGUGUUCACUUUCUGGAGACGGCUUGAGUGGACCCGAAGCCCCCCAUGCUCUUUCCAGCAGGUCUGGAGAGCCAGACGUUCUCAUCAGGAGAUGGCAUGGAUGCUGGCCUCACACAUCCCUGGGAACUGACCCCCUGCCGAAGCUCCAGCAGCCAGGAGAACAUCCCUCCUGGGCAGUCUCUGUUAGCAGGGAGCCAGCAGCUGUAGGGGAAGGUGGGGAGCGGGUCUGAGGCUGGCUGUCUGGGAGGUUUCUGUAGUCAGGUGACACGCGGCUCUCAGAGAGGAGCAGGCAGCCCAUCUGUGCCUCCCCAUCCAGCUAGGCCUCAGACUCUGGGUCACAAUGGUCACCCAGCCCUGGUGUCCCUCCCCAGCAUCCACCGGUGGGGCUGUUCAGCACAGGACAUCCUGAAGAUGACAGUGGAUUUCAUUAUUAAUCUUCCUCAUUAGGGGCCAGGCUUCUCAGCCUUCACACAGUUGACAUUUGGGCCGGAUCCCUGUUUGCGGGGGGCUCUCCUGGGCACUGUAGGGUGUUUAGCAGCACCCCUGGCCUGGACCCACGGGAUGCCACCCUCACCCUCUCCAAUUAAAACAAACAGGGUCUCACUCUGUCAGCCAGGUGUGAUCUCAAGCUAUUCUCCUGCCUCAGCCUCCCAAGUAAUGCCAAGCUGGGAUUAUAGGCAUCUGCCACCACGCCUGGCUAAUUUUUGUGUUUUUAGUGGAGACGGGGUUUCACCAUAUUGGCCAGGCUGGUCUUGAACUCCUACCUCAAGUGAUCUGCCCACCUCGGCCCCCAAAAGUGCUGGAAUUGCAGGCAUGAGCCACUGCACCCGGCCAAAAAAGACUUUUUUAAAGUGUCCAUGCUGUGGACACUGUCUCAUGCCUGUCCUGUCAGCAUUUUAGGAGGCUGAGGCAGGAGGAUGGUGUGAAGCCAGGAAGUCGAGACCAGCCUGGGCAACACAGCAAGACCCCCACCUCGAUAAAGAGUUAAAGAAAUUAGGGCUGGGUGUGGUGGCUCACACCUGUAAUCCCAGCACUUUGGGAGGCCAAGGCGGGCGAAUCACCUGAGGUCAGGAGUUUGGACAAGCUGGACCAACAUGGCAAAACCCCAUCUCUACUAAAGUAUAAAAUUAGCUGGGCAUGGAGCUGCAUGCCUAUAAUCCAGCUAUAUGGGAGGCUGAGGCAGGAGAAUCACUUGAACCCGGGAGGCAGAGGUUGCAGUGAGCCGAGAUCACGCCAUUGCACUCCAGCCUUGGCAACGAGAGUGAAACUCCAUCAGUGGGCAAGGCCAGGUACAGCGGCUCACGCCUGUAAUGUGCAUUUUGGGAGGCCAAGGCAGGUGAAUCACUUGAGGUCAGGAGUUCCAGAUCAGCCUGGCUAGCAUGGCGAAAUCCUGUCUCUACUAAAAAUAGAAAAAAUUUGCUGGGCGUGGUGGCAUGUCUGUAGCCCCAGCUACCAGGGAGCCUGAGUCAUGAGAAUCAUUUGAACCCAGGAGACAGAGUUUGCAGUGAUCUGAGAUCAAGCCUCUGUACUCCGGGCAACAGAGUGAGAGUCUGCCAGAAAGAAAGAAAGAGAGAAAGGGAGAAAAUGAAAGAAAAGGGAGGAAGGGAGGUAGGGAGGAAGAGAGAGAGAGAGGGGAAAGGAGGGAAGGAAAGAAAGGAAGAAAGAGAAAGCAGAGAAGGAAGGAAAGGAAAGAAAGAAAGAAAAAGAACAAAAGAAAGAGAAAGGAAAAGAAAAGAAAAGUUAGCUGGGCAUGGUGGCACAAGCCUGUAGUCUCAGCUAUUCGAGCUAUUUGGGAGGCUGAGGUAGGAGGAUCACCUGAGCCCAGGAGUUCAAGGCUUCAGUGAGCUAUGAUUGGGUCACUGCACUCCAGCCUGGGCAACAGAGCAAGAGACUGACUCUUUAAAAAAAAAGUUUCCAUAAUAAAACAGCAUGUAUAAUAUUUCUUUUAUGUGAGGUCAAAUAUGUGGGUCUAGAAACAAGUAUACAGACCAGGUGAGGGGGUGACACCUGCCAUCCUGGCACUUUGAGAAGCCACGGCAGGGGGAUUGCUUGAGCCCAGGAGUUUGAGACCAGCCAGGGCAACAUGGCACAACCCUGCCUCUACAAAAUAUAUGAAAAUUAGCUGGGUGUGGUGGCGCAUGCCUGCAGUUCCAGCUACUUGGGAGGCUGAGGCAGGAGGAUCACCCUGGUUGCUUGAACCCAGGACAUGGAGGUUACAGUGAGCUGAGAUCACGUCUGGGUGACAGAGUGAGACCCUGUCUCAAAAAAAGAAAAAAAUAAAGAGGCAUACAAAGGUAUUCACUGAAGGGUUAGUGGGUAUGCCUGGGCAGUGGGGACUCAGGUAGGUGGGUGUCUUCUGUCCUGCUCCGUGGCAGCAGGCGGUAUAACGUUCAGCCCUGAGGGGGGCAGCCCUGGGUGGGGGGUACAGAUGUUUCCCACACUUUGUUUAACACUAUUGAAGGCUUCAUGGCCACAGGCAUCAGGGUUCACUUUUUAAAGAUCCUGCUCCACCUUCCAGCCACUCUUGGUCCAUGCCCCUCUUUGGGUUUUUGAUUGUUUGUUGCUCAGGCUGGAGUGCAGUGAUGCCAUCUCGGCUCACUGCAACCUCCCCUCCCGGGUACAAGCAAUUCUCCUGCCUCAGCCUCCUGAGUAGCUGGGAUCACAGGCAUGUGCCACCACACCCAGCUAAUUUUUUGUGUUUUUAGUAGAGACAGGGUUUUGUCAUCUUGGCCAGGCUGGUCUUGAACUCCUGACCUUGUGAUCCGCCUGCCUCAGCCACCCAAAGUGCUUACAGGCAUGAGCCACCUCGCUCGGCCAUCCCUUUGGGUUUUGUUUUGCACAGUCCAUUGGUAUAUUUCAUGCCAUCCCACAGGCCAUCUUUGGGAAAGUGGGGCUUUGGCCUGUCUCCGUCAUUUCCAUCUCCUAUCACCCCAACCUGCCUCCCCUCCGCAGACAGGCACCCUGCAGGGCAAAAGCAGCCAUGAGCCAGGCAGGGCACCUCCCUUUAGAAAACCUGCUUGGAGUCCAGCCUCUGCACACCCCUUGCGCAGGGCACAACCUUCGCAGCCCCUGACAGCAGCCCCAGAGCCAGCCCUCUUGCCAUGGUCAUGUCUCCCAUGACUCCAGAAGAAGAGAGGCAGAGAGGUUGUCCUGGUGGGGAGCAAGAAGCCCAUGACAUCAUUGACUCCAUAGAGAGAGCCUGUAGAGCCAAGGUUGUUCAGCUGUUCUGCCGAAGCUAAACCACUUGGAGCAGGUGACUCAGACUGAAGGCACAUGAACCCUUCCUCCAGGGAGGCCGCCCUGAUGCAGCAGUGGUUAAUCCCAGAGCCAGGCAGCCUCUGCAGCCUUUGCUUCACGUGGGCUGGAACGGCAGUGCCUCUACUCCCCGUGGCCAGGUUUUGCCUUCUCUUUCACUCAGAAGCACCUCCUAAACAGCAAGGGCAGUUUGAGCAGCCCCCUGAGCCCUCCUUCAAAGAGGCUCCUGCAGCUGGGACACCCGAGCCAAGAGUUGAUGCCGCUGAGCUCUGCUGUCUCUCCCCACCUGCUCCCCACCUGUCUGUCCCCACACCUGCAACGCCAGCUCUCCUGGAUCCUCCUGUCGCCUGGUUCCUGUGAGGACAACGAGGAACUGGUGAGAUGCCAGGGCUGGAUGCUCCAGGCCUGGUGCUCGUGUUUCCUCAUGCCCCGGCUAUUUCCUUUUGGCCCUGGGCACGUGGUCAUGUGCUUCCUUUCAUGGGCGGGUUGGGGACCAGGGCCAGUGAGCAGAGCUGCCUCCAUGGCUUCUCCACCGCUGGCUCUCCCCAGGAAGCAGCCUCAGCUGUCGUUCUGGAGACUGGGGCUGGCCACCAGGGAGGGGUGGACAGUGCAGGAGCCGGCUGCCCGGCUCAGCAGGGAUUUGUGGAGGCUGACUGGCAUGGUUUCGGGUCCGCCUUGCCUGGAAGCCUGGCCAGGGGUGGCUCAGGUUUCCCGCCAGCUGGGCUUCCUCCUCCUCCGUGUGAGUGACGCCCCACCGCCAUGAUGUCAUCACCUCAUACAAACAGAAGGGAGACUGGCUUGGUGGAGCUGGCAGCUGUCCCACGCUGAGUGCAGCAGUUCUCUGUGAUAGGGAGCCUGCAGCCAGCAGCAGCAUAAGGCCCGAGCCAGACUCUUGUCACCUCCAGUCUCAAACCCAGCCUCGUGUCCUUGGAAACAGCUUCGGGAAGCAUGGGACAGAUUUCUUGUUCUCACGUCUGCCUGCUGACUAGAACCUCUUAAGGAUAAAGCCUCAUGUCAAACUCAUUCAACAAGUAUUUCUGGGUACCAGCCAUGGGCUGCGCAGGAGCUGGGGAAAUGGAUGGGAGGUGGCCCCCUUUUUCCUGCAUCGAAAACCAUCAAUAUGAAAGAGUCAGAGCCCACUGGAGAGUGCGCUGGGUGCCGUGGCCAGUGUGACCCAGGGCAAUGGAUGGGUGCCAGCAAGGUUGGGGUGGUCUGGGGGGCUGUCUGGGAUGUCUCCAGUAGGACCCGGAGGUUGUGUCUGGGUGAUGCAGGUGGAGGAGGCAGACACUGCUUCAGACCAGGGAGCAAGCGGCACUGGGAGCCCAAAGGCCGGAGGACACCCAGGCCUCCAGGUGGUCAGGUUGGCUGAACCAGAGCUGGGUGGGGGCAGGGCCUGGGCUGGUGGCAGAACCAGAGCUGGGUGGGGGCAGGGCCUGGGCUGGUGGCACAGGGGUGGGGGAGGGGGGGCCGAAGGUGAGUACAGGGAGAUGGAGACAGCAGCAGCUGUUGGUGGUGACUCACUCCUGCGCCGGAUGAUUGAAAACACAUGUUCUCACUGAGAGGCAAGCUUAUUACUCAGAGCCGAGGGUUCUUGGGUGACAUGGACGUCAACAGGGAGGGGGAGGGGAGGGGGGGGAGGG